UCAAAUCGAAUACUGAAAUUCCACGUGUCUUCGAGAGUGUGUCAAGCGGGAAAAAGUGCCCACAUAUUCUGUGUAUUUGCGUUAAUGUGUUUUACAGCAUCGGUGCGAAAUUCGGAUUUUUCCAUCUUUAAAUUCUAUUUAAAUAUAAGAUAAAUCGUGUUCGUAAUUUGGACGUGAAUUAUCUUUACCGACGAACAUCUAAUAAACCGAAUACGAUUCUACUACCUAACCUAUACAUUUAUAUUAUCGAUGUUUGUAACGUUAUCACCAUCGUAACGAGUAUUUUCUAUUCUAACGAAAUAGAAAUUUUAAAAGAAAAUAAAAAUUUUACUUUAGGAAAAGAAACUAAAUCGUUAUGUAAUAACAUUCUAAAAUAUUCUCGAAUUUCCUUAUUCGGUUUUAUUUUCGAUUUGUUUUCCUGACAUGGCUCAUAUAUUAUAGUCACGGAAAUAGAACGAAAAAAAGUUGCCACUUCUCCACAAAACGAUUAUACCUUUAUUCCGAGCUAUUUAUGGUCUCGGAAAAAAAAAUUCCCGUAUAAUUGAGCGUAACAAUAUGUUUUCUCGUUUCCUGUAAAAUAUUUUCUCCGAUGGCUACCCUAUUUUUACGCCACGGCAUGUUGGUAUUAUUGUGACACGUAAAUUCGUAUCUACAACAGUGUGUCUAAAGAGUGUCCACGUGGACAUUUCUUUCGGCCGACCUUUAUCGUGUGCCUCUUUCGGGUGAAUCACUACUAUAAUAUUACAGUUCGGUGAUCCAUAUUUUCGCAUCUAUUUACUCGUGAUUUUUAAAAAAAUUACCAAUCUGUUUGUCUUUCCUAGUUUAAUGAUUCAUCGUUCUAAUAUUACGCGUAUUUGAAAUAAUUUUUAAAAUAAAAAAUUUUUUCCACUAUAAAAAUUAUUUCUCCUAGAGAAGAUUGAGAAUUUUUAACGAUACGUAAUCAUUCUAAAUGUAAUACUUCAAUUGAUGAGAAAUAUUUUAUUUUUUACAAUGAAUUUUAUUUCGAAACAAUGGACAUACUAAAUUACUACUACCAUGCGACAAAUGUUCUAGCAUAUCGUUGCGGGCAUAUCGCGGACAGGCAACUGAAUUAAUUACAACGCUCGAGACGCUUCCCGGCGAAGUUAAAUAAGCGUUAACGUUGAAUUUUCAUUUCCCGCCAUGUUGACGCCGAAACCAGCCGAAUUUCAGGGACGAUCGCAAAGCUGUGCCACGUGCGAUAUCAAGGCUAUGUUUCAACAAUAGGAAAAAAUGAAAGUACUACGAUAGUUGCACAACGUUGAAUCAGGAAGUUGGAUCAGAAAUGAAGAGAAGCAUAUUAUUUAUAUAAAAAACGAAAAACAAGUCGACAAAAUAGUUCAACUUGUAAACUUGUAUACUUGUAUACUACCACUAAUGUGAAGAUAUUUUACGAAAUGAAUCAGCUAUUACGAAAGUUUCAACUUUGAUAAAACUAAAUAUGACACGCUCAACAGCCACAAAUUUCCGUUUUAAAAUCUAAAUUUCUUAGAAAUAAAUAGAAAUCUAAAUCUUUCGUACCCAUGGUCAACAAGUUUAUAGGAAGAAUUAAACUAAUUUCAUACUUGUCACGCACGAAAUGAAGUAUGUAUACCGGAAGUCAAUGUUCUAAGCUUAGUUAGUCAAUCGGAUUACAAUAUACGAAAGCAGAGACAUAGGAAGGCCAUGAAAAAAAAUAUAUUUACAAUGAACAAAAUAUUUAGAGGGAGAAAGAUCACGGAAACGGUAAGAAUAUAACGUAAAUCGCAUGAUCUAGAAGAGGCUUAUGGAAAAAUUAAGUAUUACGUAAUUUAAUUAUACAUUGAACAUGAUUUUAAAACCUUAUGUAACAACAACAGAGAAUGAAAUAAAUGAAAACUUUCCCGCAUCGUAUAAUAAAUUGCACAAAAGAUAGUACCUAUGUUAAAACCGUUAA